rnacentral:misc_RNA from 1 species
AAGGAGAUAAGGGCCCAUGUCGAGAAUGGCGGAGAAGCCCAUCCACACCCCCGGCUCCGGAUGCCGGACGGUAGAAGAGUGCCAGGAUAUGAUUCGACGUAGUCUCCGAAGUAAAAUCUUUCUUCUCUCUUUUAUUCAUCCCUUUUAAUUUUCAUAAGUCUGACUGGGGUUUAGGGUUUUAGAAGGCGGAUAAGCCAUUUGACUAUUUUGAAUAUAUGAAAAGAAAAACGAAAUUUUUGCUUGCAAUUUUUUCUAAUACCAGAAUUAAGCUGCUUGUAGAGUUCAUUGAUUGAUGUAUCUUGUUUGUCUUCUUGUGGGCUAUAGCUUCAAAAGUGAAAUUUUUGAAGGAGCAUUUGGAGAAAGCAGGGUGUGGAGUUGGGGACAAUUUCAUUAAGGCUGUUAAUUGUGAUAAGAAUAUCAGUGGUGGUUAUGUUCGUGGUGAAGGGGUAACAAUGCUCAUUCAUGUGAAUUCUUUGUUUAAAUCAUUUGCUUUUAUUCCUAAAUCUGCCCCUUGUGCUUUGGAUUGUAUUUCAUUUGUGCAAUUGAUGAAUUGAAGCUUUUCUUUUUUCAAAUGCCAUGUUGAAUUAUGUAUGCGAUGGAAGUUGACACCUUGUUUUCAUUGGGAUUUCAUUGCAAUGAGUAGUUUUGCAUGUGCUGAAUUUACAGUUUGUUGAAGUAUUAGAAGUCUGCAUGAAAUAAUUUGAUUUAAAAAUUAUCUGAGCUAUCUAUAAAGAACAUAGUUUCUAGAGAUCGGUUAAUUGAAUGUCUUUUUUCUUGGUCAAUUAUGUCAACUUUUUUGAUCGAUUGAUCAACCUAUAAUAUUUUUUUUCCUCUUUGGUUUAUUUUCCCAUUUUCAUUUAUCUAAUCUUCUGAUAAUAAUUAUUUCUCUAUUCUUAUAUUUUCUCUUGUUAUGCCUUGUAAGAUAAUUGUGUGCAGUAAUCAAAUGAACAUUCAAGAUGAGGUCAACCAGGUGGUCAUACAUGAACUGAUUCAUGCUUAUGAUGACUGCCGUGCUGCAAACUUGGACUGGGCUAAUUGUGCCCAUCAUGCCUGUAGUGAGGUGUGCAUCAUGGUUGCAACUACCAACUACUAAGUCUUAUUUGCAUCUUUUGUUUGAUGGAGUUGUUUUGCCAUUUUUCUUACACUGGCCAUAUGGUAAUGCACAUGAAUCUUUGUGACAUUAUUGACUCUUGUAUAUAUUUUGUUGUUGAUGGUCAAUAUAUAUUUGUUGAAGAUAAUAACUCUGUGAUAAAAUAUAGGAGCUUGAUAAUGAUGACAAUGAUAAUAAUAAUAACCAUAAUACAUUUUUUUUUUUGGUAUUUACUGUUUGGGUAUCCUAUCUUUCGUGCAUUGAGACUAAGUCCUUUCCCCUAGCGAUUUUAAGGGGCAAUUCUCCACAUCGGCCUAGAGUAUUUAGGAUAAAUAAUCUUGGAGUACCCCUAGUUGAAUAAUAAUCCUAAUACUAAUAAUUGGUCAACUUUUUUUGAUAAGCCAAAAUUUAUUAAAUAAUAGAAAUUAGAAAAAAAACUUAGUAUGAACACUAUAGACUAAAACCAGACCAACAAGUCAAUCUGAAACACCCAACCUAUGUAGUGGGAUGCUAAGCAUAGUUAUUAAAGGCUCAAAGUGCAUUAAGGUGUCAAGGGGUCCUGGAGCCUAGGCACAAGGCACAAGCACACGCCUAAGCAAAGUGAGGUGCAAAAAAAAAAGUUCAAGGUCAAAUAAAUGUGAAUAUUCAAUCAAACUUUAAAUAAUAUAAAACUAAAAAUAAU